GCUGUGGCUCAGUGCUAGAGCAUCUGCUUUGCAUGCAGAGGACACCAGUUUCAAUACCUGGCAUCUGCA